rnacentral:rRNA from 1 species
AACCCGGGGAACUGAAACAUCUAAGUACCCGGAGGAAGAGAAAGAAACAUCGAUUCCGUAAGUAGCGGCGAGCGAACGCGGAAGAGCCCAAACCGUGAUGCGUGCAUCGCGGGGUUCGGACUGCAGAAGGGAUUCAGCAACGACAGGAGAACGGCUUUGGAACAGCCGGCCAGAGAGGGUGAGAGCCCCGUAUCCAAAGUUAGAGCUGACCUGGCAGGAUCCAGAGUACCACGGGACACGUGAAACCCUGUGGGAAGCAGGAGGGACCAUCCUCCAAGCCUAAAUACUACCUAGUGACCGAUAGCGUAUAGUACCGUGAGGGAAAGGUGAAAAGAACCCCGGGAGGGGAGUGAAAGAGAACCUGAAACCCUGCACUUACAAGCUGUAGGAGCACAUUAUUUGUGUGACUGCGUACUUUUUGUAGAACGGGCCAACGAGUUACGUUGUGUAGCAAGGUUAAGCACUUAAGGUGUGGAGCCGUAGCGAAAGCGAGUCUUAAAUGGGCGUCUAGUUACCCGACGUAGACCCGAAACCAGGUGACCUAUCCAUGAGCAGGUUGAAGCGAAAGUAAAAUUUCGUGGAGGACCGAACCCACGUACGUUGAAAAGUGCGGGGAUGACUUGUGGAUAGCGGUGAAAUUCCAAUCGAGCCUGGAGAUAGCUGGUUCUCCCCGAAAUAGCUUUAGGGCUAGCCUCAAGCUUAGAGAAACGGAGGUAGAGCACUGAAUGUCCUAGGGGGUAUUGCACUUACCGAAGACUAUCAAACUCCGAAUGCCGUAUUCUUUUGCUUGGGAGUCAGACUAUGGGUGAUAAGAUUCAUAGUCAAGAGGGCAACAGCCCAGAUCGUCAGCUAAGGUCCCUAAAUGUAAGUUAAGUGGUAAAGGAUGUGGAAUUGCACAGACAACCAGGAUGUUGGCUUAGAAGCAGCCACUCAUUUAAAGAGUGCGUAAUAGCUCACUGGUCGAGUGAUUCUGCGCCGAAAAUUUCCGGGGCUAAAACUUACUACCGAAGCUACGGCAUCAUUAUGAUGGGUAGGGGAGCUUUCUAUGCGGCUUGAAGCAUGACCGUAAGGACAUGUGGACUGCAUAGAAGUGAGAAUGUUGGCAUGAGUAGCGAGAUGUGGGUGAGAAUCCCACAGGCCGUAAACCCAAGGUUUCCAGGGGAAGGUUCGUCCGCCCUGGGUUAGUCAGGACCUAAGCCGAGGCCGAAAGGCGUAGGUGAUGGACAACAGGUUGAUAUUCCUGUACCACCAAUAACCGUUUGAGAAAUGGGAUGACACAGUAGGAUAAGCUAACCGCACUGUUGGUUAUGUGCGGGCAAGUAUUGAGGCAGUUCCGAUAGGCAAAUCCGUCGGAAUAAUGCUGGGGUACGAUGCGGAGCGAAAUUAAGUAGCGAAGUAGCUGAUUUCACACUGUCGAGAAAAGUCUCUAUCGAGGUUAAAGGUGCCUGUACCGCAAACCGACACAGGUGGGUGAGGAGAGUAUCCUAAGGCCAGCGAGAGAACUGUUGUUAAGGAACUCGGCAAAAUGACCCCGUAACUUCGGGAGAAGGGGUGCCUUCGAAAGAAGGCCGCAGAGAAUAGGCCCAAGCGACUGUUUACCAAAAACAUAGGUUUCUGCUAAGUCGCAAGACGAUGUAUAGGAGCUGACGCCUGCCCGGUGCUGGAAGGUUAAGGGGAUCUGUUAGAGCAAUCGAAGCAGUGAACUUAAGCCCCAGUAAACGGCGGCCGUAACUAUAACGGUCCUAAGGUAGCGAAAUUCCUUGUCGGGUAAGUUCCGACCCGCACGAAAGGCGUAACGAUUUGGGCACUGUCUCAACAACAGACUCGGUGAAAUUGUAAUACCGGUGAAGAUGCCGGUUACCUGCGACAGGACGGAAAGACCCCAUGGAGCUUUACUGUAGCUUGACAUUGAGUCUCGGUGCUACAUGUACAGGAUAGGUGGGAGACUAUGAAGCAUGGACGUCAGUCUGUGUGGAGUCAUCCUUGGGAUACCACCCUUGUAGUACUGGGAUUCUAACCAGAGGCCAUGAAUCUGGUCUUGGGACACUGUCAGGUGGACAGUUUGACUGGGGCGGUCGCCUCCCAAAAAGUAACGGAGGCGCUCAAAGGUUCUCUCAGUACGGUCGGAAAUCGUACGAAGAGUGUAAAGGCAAAAGAGAGCUUGAUUGCAAGACAUACAGGUCGAGCAAGGACGAAAGUCGGACUUAGUGAUCCGGUGGUUCCGCAUGGAAGGGCCAUCGCUCAACGGAUAAAAGCUACCCUGGGGAUAACAGGCUGAUCUCCCCCAA